AGGAAAAAACGCAAAUACGCUUUAAAGGGUGGUGGUGGUUAUUCUCAGUUCCCAUGCCUUCCUCUACACACAGCCACCUCCAGGUGCGCCUGCAGGCAACAGAAGCUACAAUGCAUACUCUGAAACUGUCAGCAAAGAAUCGAGGAACAGGGCGCAGAGACCGGAAGCAGCAGGUUUACUGCAAAGGCCAGAGACACAGAGACGGACUUCUCUGAAGAGAGGGGCCCAGAGCUGGGAGUCUGGCGGGUGCUGUGGCUUGUUCCUUA
rnacentral:lncRNA from 1 species